CGCCCUUAGAGUUUGAUCCUGGCUCAGGAUGAACGCUGGCGGCGUGCCUAACACAUGCAAGUCGAACGGGCUUAACAUGAAACCUAGUGAUUGUUAAGUUAGUGGCGGACGGGUGAGUAACGCGUGGAUAACCUGCCGUAUGCAGGGGGAUAACAGUUGGAAACAGCUGCUAAUACCGCAUAAGCGCACAGUACCGCAUGGUGCAGUGCGAAAAGAUUUAUCGGCAUACGAUGGAUCCGCGUCCGAUUAGCCAGUUGGCAGGGUAACGGCCUACCAAAGCGACGAUCAGUAGCCGGCCUGAGAGGGCGGACGGCCACAUUGGGACUGAGACACGGCCCGGACUCCUACGGGAGGCAGCAGUGGGGGAUAUUGCACAAUGGGGGGAACCCUGAUGCAGCGACACCGCGUGGGUGAGGAAGCGCUUCGGCGUGUAAAGCCCUAUCAGUGGGGAAGAAAAGAGACGGUACCCAAAGAAGAAGCACCGGCUAAAUACGUGCCAGCAGCCGCGGUAAUACGUAUGGUGCAAGCGUUAUCCGGAAUGACUGGGUGUAAAGGGAGCGUAGACGGUUGUUCAAGUCUGAUGUGAAAGCCCUCGGCUUAACUGGGGGAGUGCAUUGGAAACUGAAGGACUAGAGUAUCGGAGAGGUAAGUGGAAUUCCUAGUGUAGCGGUGAAAUGCGUAGAUAUUAGGAGGAACACCAGUGGCGAAGGCGGCUUACUGGACUGUAACUGACGUUGAGGCUCGAAAGCGUGGGGAGCAAACAGGAUUAGAUACCCUGGUAGUCCACGCCGUAAACGAUGAUCACUAGGUGUCGGGGGUUAAAGAACCUUCGGUGCCGCAGCCAACGCAGUAAGUGAUCCACCUGGGGAGUACGUUCGCAAGAAUGAAACUCAAAGGAAUUGACGGGGGCCCGCACAAGCGGUGGAGUAUGUGGUUUAAUUUGAAGCAACGCGAAGAACCUUACCAGGGCUUGACAUCCCGGUGACCGCGCUAGAGAUAGCGUUUUCCCUUCGGGGACUUCUCACACAGGUGGUGCAUGGUUGUCGUCAGCUCGUGUCGUGAGAUGUUGGGUUAAGUCCCGCAACGAGCGCAACCCCUAUUGUUAGUUGCUACGCAAGAGCACUCUAGCGAGACUGCCGUUGACAAAACGGAGGAAGGUGGGGACGACGUCAAAUCAUCAUGCCCCUUAUGUCCUGGGCUACACACGUAAUACAACGGCGGUCAACAGAGGGAUGCAAAGCCGCGAGGCAGAGCGAACCCCAAAAAGCCGUCCCAGUUCGGAUCGCAGGCUGCAACCCGCCUGCGUGAAGUCGGAAUCGCUAGUAAUCGCGGAUCAGCAUGCCGCGGUGAAUACGUUCCCGGGCCUUGCACUCACCGCCCGUCA
rnacentral:rRNA from 1 species